UAGAUGGCCUUAACGAGCUAUAGAGGGCAUUAACUGGAACAUCGAGAAAAGUAUUAAUAUGACAUCGCUAGCACGAUAAUGACACUGAGGAGAAGACUUGAGGCUUUAAAUACAAGAUUUAAUGCAUUAGUACAAAAUCGAUUAAGAAAUGAAGACGAAGACAACAAUUUGUCAACACAACACAACACAAUUGACAGACUGAGAAUGUUCCAAAGCAACAUCCCCAAUGAAGUCUCAGCCACGACUAGGAGACGAGCUGCUAGGCAGAGCAUCAUUAGGAUUUCUUUCAUUGAAAAUAGUGGGGAGCAUCUAAUCACAACACAACGUACAACGGUUAAAAAACUAGUUGUACCAUUUUCAAUGGAUGAGAGAGCAUUUCACCAGAAAAUUAGGGAAGCUUUUCCAAUAAUAGGAGAGGGUGAAAUUGAAAUCUGCAGAGUUGACAGGAGGCGAAGGGUAAUACCUGUUGAGUUGAGUUCAGUUUGCCCUGCAGCUAUAAAAGCAUGCCCAGAGUUUGGCAGGUCAGCUGUAUAUGUGAGGCUUAAGGUAAGAACAACAAAUUAUUCUACCAAAUGUAUAUCCCAAAUUAAUUUUUAUGCUAUAAAAACAAACAUGUUCUUUUUCUUUGCUGAUCCUGCAUUGCUUUUACUGGGAUGCUAUUACUAUUAUUACUAUUAAUAUUCAAUUAAAAAGAAAACUGUUGUUUGAAAGACUAGUCACCCUGUAUUUAAGCCAUGUGUUUGCACUGCCACAUUGUGAAGUAUUGCCAGUUCACUGCCUUACUAAGUGUUCUUCCAUGACUCCCUUGCUUGUGUUCUUUGGACUCACGUUUUUGGAUUACUGUUUUGGAUUUGUCUGCCAUUGGAUUGUUUUGCCCGUGUUUCGACCAAAGCCUGUGACUGACUACGAGUUGUGACUGUUGUUUGGAUUUUAUGUUCAGAUCCCUCA